rnacentral:rRNA from 1 species
GAUGAACGCUGGCGGCGUGCCUAAUACAUGCAAGUCGAGCGAACAGACGAGGAGCUUGCUCCUUCGACGUUAGCGGCGGACGGGUGAGUAACACGUAGGUAACCUACCUAUAAGACUGGGAUAACUUCGGGAAACCGGAGCUAAUACCGGAUAAUAUUUCGAACCGCAUGGUUCGAUAGUGAAAGAUGGCUUUGCUAUCCCUUAUAGAUUGACCUGCUCCGUAUUAGCUAGUUGGUAAGGUAACGGCUUACCAAGGCAACGAUACGUAGCCGACCUGAGAGGGUGAUCGGCCACACUGGAACUGAGACACGGUCCAGACUCCUACGGGAGGCAGCAGUAGGGAAUCUUCCGCAAUGGGCGAAAGCCUGACGGAGCAACGCCGCGUGAGUGAUGAAGGUCUUCGGAUCGUAAAACUCUGUUAUUAGGGAAGAACAAACGUGUAAGUAACUGUGCACGUCUUGACGGUACCUAAUCAGAAAGCCACGGCUAACUACGUG